rnacentral:lncRNA from 1 species
UCCAUCUCGAUUAAGAACAAGAGGUGAGAUGGUUAUAUAGUACCUGCUCCUGGAUGCUAAAGGUUUAUAAUCAAGCAAAUGGAAAAUAGAAAUAUUCCUGCUUUUAAAGUUUUCAAAAUUUGUGACUGACACUUUAUCAUGGGAAAGUUAUUCUUAAUUUCAGUCUCUUUUUUUCUCUUGGGUUUUUGAAGCCAGCUAUAGAAUGAUACCUUUAUCUGAAAACACCUGAAGCAUCUUUCACCAUGAACUCGGAAGAAACUCGACAUAGCACAUGACUUGUUCCAAGCAUUGUUAUCAGUUCCAAGCUCCACGGGAAAGCAGACAGGUGAGUAACCCUAUCACACCCUCCAUCUGAACAUGGUUACCCUUGAAACAGCAUUUUGGAGGUUAUCCAACUGGGCUAACUGAAUCAUUGUUCACAGUAAUUUUACUAAUGCAUGCCCUUCUGAAUUUAAAAUGUGUAGUAAGUAAUUUCUUUUCACCAAUUGCUUACAUUAUCUAGUAGAAUGGAUAUGCAUUCACAUAUAUCGAU